UUUAUGAGAUGUGCCCCGUUUAAAAAGUGUUGACAGGAGGUAGUUGCUGUCUUUGGUUAUCUAGCUGUAUGAGUGUUUAUCUUCCUUCAUAAAGCUAGAUAACCGAAAGUAGAAACGUCCUCCUUAACUGCAUGUGGACCAGUUCAGUGGGAAGCAAUGGGAAAGUGCACGAGCUUACUGUAGCCUCUCAAACUGCAGUGUCUUUGUGAGAGACCAGAGGACUGGAGCUAAGGGAAAAAACGCCAUCUGCAACUGCCAGCCAUUUACACUGCCUUUUUGGAGCAAGAGGGAGAGAGGAAAAAAAUGGCGCAAUUGUCCAAAUGAAAGAAAAGAAAAAUAAUAGUCAACCCUCAUCCUUCUUCUACCAGCUCCCCUCCCUUCUUCUUCAACGGAAGCAUUUAGUGCCAUCUGUGCCCCCGGAGAAAAGAGGGAAAAAAAGAUAGGAGUGAGAGUCUACAUCCCAAGUGCCAAUGGGGACAAAGAGGCUGCCAGUUGCCACGGACCACCAGAUGCUGGAAGACUGCAAGUCUGAAUGAGGGGUGUGCUUUCAGGAAGCCAUCUUGAUGGAGAAACUGGCUGCUGCUCCCUAAAAUGGCUGUGUUGGCAUGAGACUCCUGAAAAAUUUCCAUCAGCUGCCGGAGAAACUGAGGCCAUCCGGCUACGUUUGACUCGCAUCACCUCAGGAAUCCAGCAUCCAGCAUCUCUUCCAGAUGGUUGGCUGUGAAGAUUAAACAAGCAGACAUGAGGGAUGGAUGGUUUUAAUUGAUUUAACUGGGUGUCUUAAAACCGUCUUUAAACAAUCACUAAUACCGGAUGGGAACAAAUUUGGGCUGUUCAUCCAGUUAAUUCUUAGAUAUUGAAAAAAUGUGUCAUACAAUCUUAUUAGUUUUGUAUAAACUGAAGAGAAUAAUGUGCCUUAAUGUGUGAAAUGUUUACUGUGAAAUUUGGCAUUAUUGAAACAAAUGUCAAUAUCUGUUAUUUUAAUGUAUUUUUAAUGCUUCAUUGUUUUACAUAAAAUGUAUGAACUUUAAUGCUAUAAGGGGCCUCAUUUAUUAAACGUGCGUACGCUAAAAUCCAUAAAAACUGUCUUUGAUGUGGAAAAGCCACGUCAGGUUCACGUCAGACUUACGCACUUUUCCUUGUGGCAGAGAACUGCAGGUAUUUGGAAAUCUAAGCAAUUCUUGCUGCUCGCCAUUCUCAAGUUAAGCAUUUGGUGCUAUUUUAUAUGCUAAUGACAUUAAUUAGGCGGCGUUUACAAGGCGGAAAUCUGAAAUCAUUCAACUGCGCACAAUUUCAAGAUCAUUUGCGAUUUCAUUUUUGUGCGUACGCACAUUUGAGAAAUGUAGGACGGUUUCUACCCAACAUUUUAUAAAUGAGGCCCUAUAUUUACAAAAUGUACAUAUUUGAUUAUAUAUAUAUAUAUAUAUAUAUAUAUAUAUAUAUAUAUAUAUAUAUAUAUACAUACAUGACUAUAUAUGGGGUUUAAUACAUGUAUCUCUGAAUUAUCAAUUUGUCUGAUUGUGUGAUGUAUGAACAAAACUACUAAUAAACAAGGAUUAAAGCUAAUGUGAAUGUUUU